rnacentral:ribozyme from 1 species
UGCCCAGCAACUCCUAUCCCUACCUCCUCGCGGUACUGGCCGGGGUACGAGUAACCUUAGGGAAGAUCGGGUAGCCAACCCCGGUGGGAACUCUGGUCGUAUGCUGACAGUGAAGG